AGUGAACGCUGGCGGUAGGCCUAACACAUGCAAGUCGAACGGCAGCACAGUAAGAGCUUGCUCUUACGGGUGGCGCGUGGCGGACGGGUGAGGAAUACAUCGGAAUCUACUUUUUCGUGGGGGAUAACGUAGGGAAACUUACGCUAAUACCGCAUACGACCUACGGGUGAAAGCAGGGGAUCCUCGGACCUUGCGCGAUUGAAUGAGCCGAUGUCGGAUUAGCUAGUUGGCGGGGUAAAGGCCCACCAAGGCGACGAUCCGUAGCUGGUCUGAGAGGAUGAUCAGCCACACUGGAACUGAGACACGGUCCAGACUCCUACGGGAGGCAGCAGUGGGGAAUAUUGGACAAUGGGCGCAAGCCUGAUCCAGCCAUACCGCGUGGGUGAAGAAGGCCUUCGGGUUGUAAAGCCCUUUUGUUGGGAAAGAAAAGCAGCAGGUUAAUACCCCGCUGUUCUGACGGUACCCAAAGAAUAAGCACCGGCUAACUUCGUG
rnacentral:rRNA from 1 species